CUGCAACUCGCCUACACGAAGUUGGAAUUGCUAGUAAUCGUGGAUCAGCAUGCCACGGUGAAUACGUUCCCGGGUCUUGUACACACCGCCCGUCACACCAUGGGAGCUGGUAACACCCGAAGUCAGUAGUCUAACCGCAAGGAGGACGCUGCCGAAGGUGGGAUUAGCGACUGGGGUGAAGUCGUAACAAGGUAAC
rnacentral:rRNA from 1 species